rnacentral:rRNA from 1 species
UACGUAGGGGGCAAGCGUUGUCCGGAUUUAUUGGGCGUAAAAAGCGUGUAGGCGGCUUUACAGGUCCGUUGUGAAAACUCGAGGCUCAACCUCGAGACGCCGGUGGAAACCGUAAGGCUAGAGUCCGGAAGAGGAGAGUGGAAUUCCUGGUGUAGCGGUGAAAUGCGCAGAUAUCAGGAAGAACACCCGUGGCGAAGGCGGCUCUCUGGGACGGUACUGACGCUGAGACGCGAAAGCGUGGGGAGCGAACAGG